rnacentral:rRNA from 1 species
UACGGAGGGUGCAAGCGUUAAUCGGAAUUACUGGGCGUAAAGAGUGCGUAGGUGGUUGUGUGUGUUAGAUGUGAAAUCCAUGGGCUUAACCUGUGAAUUGCAUUUAAAACUGCAUGACUAGAGUGUUGUAGAGGGUGGCGGAAUUUCCAGUGUAGCGGUGAAAUGCGUAGAUAUUGGAAGGAACACCAGUGGCGAAGGCGGCCACCUGGACCAUAACUGACGCUGAGGCACGAAAGCUAGGGGAGCAAACAGG